CUUAAUCGAAUGAUAGCAGGAUCAAAUACGGCUCCGUGAGCGCCUAGUGGAUGCAACAGGUCUGUCAUACUGGCGACAACGGUCAAUGUUUUGCAGACAUCAGUAUUGCAGUAUAAUAGUGUUGAAAAAAUCAGUCAUCCCUACCGAGGGACGUGUUUUGAGAACGUAUCGCACAAUUAACAGUCAUAUAACUGAGUAAUUGGAAGCUAGAUAUUUUCAUGUAGGUAAUAUGCAUAGCUUAUUAUAAAAGUGAAAUAUCCACUAUACAGAUACAUGUUGAUCAUUCGGGUACAUUGCACAGGAAAUCGAAAGGUGAUAAUGAGGUGCAGUUUGAUUGAGUGAAAGGUGAAUCUCUUCCUCGAGCAUAACACCAUUUCUGAACUGACGCUACGGCCGCUUUAUAUUCUACAAUAUUGCAUAAAUUUGAAACAGUUGUUAGGAGCAGAUGAUGUAAUGGCAUACCACUUCCGACUUAAUAGGUGGCCUCGCUGAACACAAACGGGAUUCAUUGACGGCGUUGCUUAAGACGAACACCUGUAAACUACACUCAUCGUUUCCGUCUAUGAUGACUGAUUAUGAUUCCAUAGGGAACGCUUCAGUGACAAUGUUAGUGAACGUUACUCCAUAUAGCGACGACUUGGCAGUGACUGGUUCUUUAAACAUGACAAAUGGAACAAUUCAAUCAACGAUUGCUCCCUAUGAAAACUUUUAUAACAGUGCACAGUUCACAACCGGACUAGUUUGCUACCCUAUUCUCUGUGUGUUGGGCAUAACAGGAAACGCUUUGAUCCUUAUUGUUCUAGCAACUAAAAAGAUGCAGACCUCCACUAACGUUAUUUUAGGUGCGCUGUCUGUUUCAGACAUGUUUAAACUUUUAAACGAUUUCCUGUAUUUUUUGACAAUACUAUUACUUCGAUUUUAUGAAGCAAAGGGGAAAGUAAUGUUGGCGUAUCUAUAUCCCUACGCACAUUAUAUCUUCAACAUGACUGCAUGUACAUCAGCUUGGCUGACGAUAUCAGUCGCCGUAGAACGCUACGUCAUGGUGUGCCACGCUACAAGAGCGAAGUCUCUCUGCACGAUCGCAAGAUCUCGCGUGAUCAGCGCAACAGUGUUUAUCAUAGUUGGUGCCAUUCUACUGCCUUCAGCAUUACGUUAUAGGACAGUCUCCCGUUGGUCCAACGUGACCAACUCCUCCCACAUGGACGUGGAGGUCACAGAACUGUGGAAAGACGCGAAGUUCGUGGCUUCCUACAACAGGAUGCAGAACCUUCUACGUUCAGUGAUACCCUUCUUCCUUCUUAUCAUCAUGAACGCGUUCAUAAUAAACGCACUGAGAAAGACACGUGCGAAUAAAAAGAUGGCUCAAAGAAAUCGCAUUACUACAAUGCUUAUUAUUGUUAUCUUAGUAUUUUUGAUCUGUAUUGCCCCGGAUGCCAUUAUGGGCCUCAUGGGACUUGGUUACAUAGAGGCAAAAGAUUUCCUCGUGAAAGGGGUUCGGGAAAUCACAGACAUGCUAUUAGCAGUGAACGCCUCGGUUAACUUUAUCAUAUACAUUGCCUUCAAUAGCAGCUUUAGGGAUCAGUUCUGCGAUCAAUUUUGUAAAAAGUGCCGGACUAAAUCGUGUAUUAACGGAACUAAAAAUAUCAAAAAAGAAUCUGAAGCUAAGUAUAAAAAGCUGUCGGAUAAAACUGUGAAUGGUUCCCACUAUAGUAAAUCAUCACCUAAUUCUUCAGAAAUUCAGGACCAGCCAACCACACUUAAGGACAAUGCGACUGUUACAAGUAAUGUUUAGAUGAUGUACAUUUCUGAUGUACAAAUGUAAAAUAUCAAAAUAAGGCAAAUAAAAUACAGAAAUAUUGUAU
rnacentral:misc_RNA from 1 species